AUUGAACGCUGGCGGCAUGCUUUACACAUGCAAGUCGAACGGAAACACGCCUUCGGUUGCUGUCGAGUGGCGGACGGGUGCGUAAUGCAUCGGAACGUGCCCCGUGCUUGGGGGUAACGCAUCGAAAGCUGAGCCCAUACCUCAUGCGAUCUGAGGUUUAAAGCGGGGGACCUGGCAGGAAUGUUUCGCCUCUCGCCUUUGGAGUGGCCGGUGUCGCAUUAGGUGGUUGGUGAGGUAAAGGCCUGCCAAGCCGACGAUCCGUAGCCGGUCUGAGAGGAUGAUCGGCCACACUGGAACUGAGACACGGUCCAGACUCCUACGGGAGGCAGCAGUAGGGAAUCUUGCGCAAAGGGCGAAAGCCUGAUGGAGCAACGCCGCGUGAGUGAAGAAGGUCUUCGGAUCGUAAAACGCUGUUAUUAGGGAAGAACAAAUGUGUAAGUAACCAUGAAGGUCUUGACGGUACCUAAUGAGAAAGCACCGGCUAACUACGUG
rnacentral:rRNA from 1 species